rnacentral:lncRNA from 1 species
UUUUGAAUUUUGAAUUUUGCGGUCCGAGAUCUGCUGAGAUGUACGACUUCCUCGGGAAUACUUCCAACGGCUUCCCUUCUUCCCGUAUAUAUUCUUCUGCCUUCUCUUCCCUAUUUCUGCACUCCUUGCUUUCUACUCAGGUAUUUUUUUCUCUUCCUUCUUUGCGUACGCCUUUCUAGCUUAGCCGUCGUGAUUCCCAAGGCCCAUAGUUGUUCAUUUUACUGUGGUCGCCAGUUAUCGAUUAGGAACCGAUUGACCAUGUCCAAACGAUCUGCCUCUUCGACACCUUCGAUGACCAAUAGGGCUGGUUCGAGGAGAAGAGUAGAU